rnacentral:rRNA from 1 species
AUGAGCGCGCCGGUCCGGCACCCUGACGCUGACAUCGCCAGCGCCCAUCCGUCACCUGACCUGCGUCAGCUGUCAAGCGGAGACAUUAGCAGCAUGUUUCGCACUCAGCUUAUCGCCGUCCGGUCGCCGUGCGCGCGCGGCCGGAAAGGCAGACCGGAGGAGAGGUGUGCCGCCGAGUCGGAAGCAUGUAAAGUAAUUCUCAUACUGCCAGGUGUCAAGAAAAUGGUCAUGCUAUCCAUCCUUACUUCAGUUCGUGACUCCUGGACCGGAACUACUCGCCCAACAUAUUCUAUUCCAGCAGCUGGCUACCGACAUUUAAACCCAUUAUGCGUCGCGCAAAAGAGAAAAACAAAGAAAGGGAUUGCCCAGCCACCAUUCCCCAUCCCUCGAUUCCUCUCCCUCUCCCUCGUCUUCCGCCGCCGCCACCACCGGCGACCUCCUCACAGCCGCUGCAACCACCCACGCCCUCCCCCACGUUUGACGCUGCCACCCCUUCUCUCACCUUCUCCUCACCAUCCACGACCCCCUCCCCUCGCCCUCGCCCCAAAUCGAGCAGCAGGCCCGGACGGACGCAUGCUCAGAUCCGGCAUGCCCACAACCUUGGUUCCGCUUCAGGACGCCAUGGACAUCCAGCCAUGGAUAAGCUCCUUCUCUUCCUUGUCGCACGAGAACAUCUCUCUAUCUCUCUUUGCCGAAUCAAGUUGGUGCUGCUGCAACCUCACCCCCUCACCCCAACAAGUAGCCCCAACCCUAGCCCUUCCUUCCAUGACGACUAGGAGGUGUAGCACAGUUUGUGUGGAUAUGAUGCGCGCACUAUUUUUUUUAAUUUCUCCUUUUGUCCUGCAGAUGUUAGCAAAGAAAGUUGAUACCUUAAUAACCAAUAAAAAGAUGAUGAUGCUAGAGGUUGCUGCCAUGGAGAAAGAAGUUACAGCUAUCCGUGUCGAUAAGGAUCAAGAAAUGAAAGACAUGCAGCUUGUCACUGUUUAUAGAUUUUCAAGCAUGGAACUGGUUCAGAGGAUGAACCUGUCAUACUCGUGGCGUACGUUGCUGGUGUACAUGCCGCUGCCGGCCAAGAAGAUCCAAGUUAACGGUCAAAAUGCAGUGGAUGAUGCAAGUCUUUUCUUAAUGGAUCAGGGGAAUGUAUUUUCUUUUCUCCUAAUAGGAUUAUUGCACUCACCAGUUGAGUACUCAGUUAAUCAGGUUUCUGAAUUGGUUCAGAUUCUCUACAGCUGGUGGUUCUUUGGGCGAGCAAGGGUAGCGCCGUCCUUCUCCUGCUCAAGACACUGCGUCAAUCUUGGUGGCACGCGCAACCACCGGCUGCACUACGACGAGCACGAAUUCUCGGUCGUUGAGACACCAGCAUUCAGCAAUGAGGAAGGCGGCUUGGUGGGGUCGGUGGAGGGUGUUGUCCAGUUGUGGUGGACGUGA